GGGCAAUUAGCUCAGUUGGAUAGAGUGUCAGCCUCCGGAGCUGAAGGUCGCAGGUUCGAAUCUUGCAUUGCCCACCA
rnacentral:tRNA from 2 species